AAGUGGUACGCGAGCUGGGUUUAGAACGUCGUGAGACAGUUCGGUCCCUAUCUGCCGUGGGCGCUGGAGAAUUGAGGGGGCUGCUCCUAGUACGAGAGGACCGGAGUGGACGCAUCACUGGUGUUCGGGUUGUCAUGCCAAUGGCAUGCCCGGUAGCUAAAUGCGGAAGAGAUAAGUGCUGAAAGCAUCUAAGCACGAAACUUGCCCCGAGAUGAGUUCUCCCUGAGACU
rnacentral:rRNA from 1 species